UAAUAAUCAGGUUAAUUGAGUGCAGCAGCCUGGUUCUGAGAAUCAUGAAAUGUCUCCGUAGGACAUUCUGCCCUCUCCCAGUCGGGCGUGGAGCCACUGGCUCCCUCGUGCUGUCGGGAGACACUGAAUGCUCCUGCUGAGAGGCUCACACAGCACAAUACAACUACUUUAUGCUCCCCAGACUCAGAAUGGAGGACUAAGAUUCCUGGAUUUUAAACACAGAGGGGGACUGUAGCAUAUUUUGGGGUGCCAGGGUAGCUAUAGCAAAUAAAUAAAAGAUGCAUUUCAGCAACAGAUUGUUAAUCUACAGAUU
rnacentral:lncRNA from 1 species